AACGAACGCUGGCGGCAGGCCUAACACAUGCAAGUCGAGCGCCCCGCAAGGGGAGCGGCGGACGGGUGAGUACCGCGUGGGAAUAUGCCCUUUGCUACGGAAUAGUCUCGGGAAACUGGGGGUAAUACCGUAUACGCCCUUUGGGGGAAAGAUUUAUCGGCGAAGGAUUAGCCCGCGUUGGAUUAGGUAGUUUGUGGGGUAAUGGCCUACCAAGCCGACGAUCCAUAGCUGGUUUGAGAGGAUGAUCAGCCACACUGGGACUGAGACACGGCCCAGACUCCUACGGGAGGCAGCAGUGGGGAAUCUUAGACAAUGGGGGCAACCCUGAUCGAGCCAUGCCGCGUGAGUGAUGAAGGCCUUAGGGUUGUAAAGCUCUUUCAGCUGGGAAGAUAAUGACGGUACCAGCAGAGGAAGCCCCGGCUAACUCCGUG
rnacentral:rRNA from 1 species